GUAUAGCCCCGAUAGAAGUGGAAAUCCUUUUAUGGUGGGGUUCACCAUAAAAGAUUGAAACGGAUAGCGGGACUAAAC
rnacentral:sRNA from 1 species